GACGAACGCUGGCGGCGUGCUUAACACAUGCAAGUCGAACGGAAAGGCCCUGCUUUUGUGGGGUGCUCGCGUGGCGAACGGGUGAGUAACACGUGAGUAACCUGCCCUUGACUUUGGGAUAACUUCAGGAAACUGGGGCUAAUACCGGAUAGGAGCUCCUGCUGCAUGGUGGGGGUUGGAAAGUUUCGGCGGUUGGGGAUGGACUCGCGGCUUAUCAGCUUGUUGGUGGGGUAGUGGCUUACCAAGGCUUUGACGGGUAGCCGGCCUGAGAGGGUGACCGGCCACAUUGGGACUGAGAUACGGCCCAGACUCCUACGGGAGGCAGCAGUGGGGAAUAUUGCACAAUGGGCGGAAGCCUGAUGCAGCAACGCCGCGUGCGGGAUGACGGCCUUCGGGUUGUAAACCGCUUUCGCCUGUGACGAAGCGUGAGUGACGGUAAUGGGUAAAGAAGCACCGGCUAACUACGU
rnacentral:rRNA from 1 species